AACGAACGCUGGCGGCAUGCCUAACACAUGCAAGUCGAACGAUGCCUUCGGGCAUAGUGGCGCACGGGUGCGUAACGCGUGGGAAUCUGCCCUUGGCUUCGGAAUAACAGUUAGAAAUGACUGCUAAUACCGGAUGAUGUCCCCCUGAGAGAUCUUGGGGACCAAAGAUUUAUCGGCCAGGGAUGAGCCCGCGUAGGAUUAGGUAGUUGGUGGGGUAAAGGCCUACCAAGCCGACGAUCCUUAGCUGGUCUGAGAGGAUGAUCAGCCACACUGGAACUGAGACACGGCCCAGACUCCUACGGGAGGCAGCAGUGGGGAAUAUUGGACAAUGGGGGGAACCCUGAUCCAGCAAUGCCGCGUGAGUGAUGAAGGCCUUAGGGUUGUAAAGCUCUUUUACCAGGGAUGAUAAUGACAGUACCUGGAGAAUAAGCUCCGGCUAACUCCGUG
rnacentral:rRNA from 1 species